rnacentral:lncRNA from 1 species
AUUGCCUGGCUGCUAGAGGAAACCCGAAGUCGGGAUUCUUUCUUUCCUGCUCUGAGAGGGACCAGGUCCCUCCUCCGUAGCUUUUGUCUCUCUAUUGCCUGCGCCGUGUCCUGGACUGCUCACGGGAGUUCUGCAGGAGACGCCGGAAUAUCUGGAAGCUGAAAAAUGGAAAUAAAUGGAAAGACCAGAAUAUUGAAGAUCACUACAGAAAUCUAAGGUGACUCCCACGACCAGUGCGGGUCACAGCACAGGCGACAGAAGCUAUGGCAGAGGCACCUGAACCCUCUCGGAGGGGAAAGCCAGGCUCCCAACCUCAGCUCGCCGCCUGGAGCCGGGAACCGAGGAGAGCAGGGCCUUCGCCCUCCCCGAUGGACACUCGGCAGGCCCCGCCCAGCGCCCCUGAUUGGACGAAGCGCCGGGCCCCGCCCCCUCAGCCUUUUGAGUCAGGGUCUCACCCUGUGGCCCAGGCUGCCCUCCAGUGAUGCCAUCAUGACUCAGUGCAACCUCAAACUCCCAGGUUCAAGCGAUCUUCCAUCCUGACCUCCAAAAGGGCUGGAUUAUACACAUAAGCCAUGUCACACUUUAUAUGUUUCUAGGGAAGCUUUUCUAAGAAUAAAUACAUUGGAACUA